AAUCAACGCUGGCGGCGUGCCUAACACAUGCAAGUCGAACGCGAAAGGGGCUUCGGCUCUGAGUAGAGUGGCGAACGGGUGAGUAACACGUGGGUGAUCUACCUUCGAGUGGGGGAUAACGUCCCGAAAGGGACGCUAAUACCGCAUGACGUUCUGGGUUUAAAGACCUGGAAACCAAAGCCGGGGACCGCAAGGCCUGGCGCUUGAAGAGGAGCCCGCGUCCGAUUAGCUAGUUGGCGGGGUAAUGGCCCACCAAGGCGACGAUCGGUAGCCGGCCUGAGAGGGCGGACGGCCACACUGGGACUGAGACACGGCCCAGACUCUUACGGGAGGCAGCAGUGGGGAAUUGUUCACAAUGGGCGCAAGCCUGAUGACGCAACGCCGCGU
rnacentral:rRNA from 1 species